AUCCAGAGAACUUGGCAGAGAUGCCUUGGUGCCUUCGGGAACUCUGAGACAGGUGCUGCAUGGCUGUCGUCAGCUCGUGUUGUGAAAUGUUGGGUUAAGUCCCGNAACGAGCGCAACCCCUAUCCUUUGUUGCCAGCGAUUCGGUCGGGAACUCAAAGGAGACUGCCGGUGAUAAACCGGAGGAAGGUGGGGAUGACGUCAAGUCAUCAUGGCCCUUACGAGUAGGGCUACACACGUGCUACAAUGGCGCAUACAAAGAGAAGCGACCUCGCGAGAGCAAGCGGACCUCAUAAAGUGCGUCGUAGUCCGGAUCGGAGUCUGCAACUCGACUCCGUGAAGUCGGAAUCGCUAGUAAUCGUAGAUCAGAAUGCUACGGUGAAUACGUUCCCGGGCCUUGUACACACCGCCCGUCACACCAUGGGAGUGGGUUGCAAAAGAAGUAGAUAGCUUAACCUUCGGGAGGGCGUUUACCACUUUGUGAUUCAUGACUGGGGUGAAGUCGUAACAAGGUAAGCGUAGCGAG
rnacentral:rRNA from 1 species